rnacentral:rRNA from 1 species
GUGGCGAACGGGUGAGUAACACGUGGACAACCUGCCUCAAGGCUGGGGAUAACAUUUGGAAACAGAUGCUAAUACCGAAUAAAACUUAGUGUCGCAUGACACAAAGUUAAAAGGCGCUUCGGCGUCACCUAGAGAUGGAUCCGCGGUGCAUUAGUUAGUUGGUGGGGUAAAGGCCUACCAAGACAAUGAUGCAUAGCCGAGUUGAGAGACUGAUCGGCCACAUUGGGACUGAGACACGGCCCAAACUCCUACGGGAGGCUGCAGUAGGGAAUCUUCCACAAUGGGCGAAAGCCUGAUGGAGCAACGCCGCGUGUGUGAUGAAGGCUUUCGGGUCGUAAAGCACUGUUGUAUGGGAAGAACAGCUAGAAUAGGAAAUGAUUUUAGUUUGACGGUACCAUACCAGAAAGGGACGGCUAAAUACGUGCCAGCAGCCGCGGUAAUACGUAUGUCCCGAGCGUUAUCCGGAUUUAUUGGGCGUAAAGCGAGCGCAGACGGUUUAUUAAGUCUGAUGUGAAAGCCCGGAGCUCAACUCCGGAAUGGCAUUGGAAACUGGUUAACUUGAGUGCAGUAGAGGUAAGUGGAACUCCAUGUGUAGCGGUGGAAUGCGUAGAUAUAUGGAAGAACACCAGUGGCGAAGGCGGCUUACUGGACUGCAACUGACGUUGAGGCUCGAAAGUGUGGGUAGCAAACAGGAUUAGAUACCCUGGUAGUCCACACCGUAAACGAUGAACACUAGGUGUUAGGAGGUUUCCGCCUCUUAGUGCCGAAGCUAACGCAUUAAGUGUUCCGCCUGGGGAGUACGACCGCAAGGUUGAAACUCAAAGGAAUUGACGGGGACCCGCACAAGCGGUGGAGCAUGUGGUUUAAUUCGAAGCAACGCGAAGAACCUUACCAGGUCUUGACAUCCUUUGAAGCUUUUA